GAUCAUGGCUCAGAUUGAACGCUGGCGGCAGGCCUAACACAUGCAAGUCGAGCGGUAGCACAGAGAGCUUGCUCUCGGGUGACGAGCGGCGGACGGGUGAGUAAUGUCUAGGAAACUGCCUGAUGGAGGGGGAUAACUACUGGAAACGGUAGCUAAUACCGCAUAAUGUCGCAAGACCAAAGUGGGGGACCUUCGGGCCUCAUGCCAUCAGAUGUGCCCAGAUGGGA
rnacentral:rRNA from 1 species